UACGUAGGGUGCGAGCGUUGUCCGGAAUUAUUGGGCGUAAAGGGCUCGUAGGCGGUUUGUCGCGUCGGGAGUGAAAAUCCAGGGCUUAACUCUGGACUGGCUUCCGAUACGGGCAGACUAGAGGUAUGCAGGGGAGAACGGAAUUCCUGGUGUAGCGGUGAAAUGCGCAGAUAUCAGGAGGAACACCGGUGGCGAAGGCGGUUCUCUGGGCAUUACCUGACGCUGAGACGCGAAAGCGUGGGGAGCGAACAGG
rnacentral:rRNA from 1 species